AUAAGGAACUGGCCUGCAGGUCAUAUAAUGUACCACAAAAAAAAAAAAGAUGCGGUACAUUAUCUGAUCUGCAGGCCAGUUCCUUAU